GAGAGAGAGAGGCGCCUUAGUGACCUCAGGGGUACAUUGGGCCAGAAUUAUUGCAGGAACAAAAGGGGCUCAGGGCCUUGGAGGUCCCCUGUGCUGGUGUGUCCUUGGGACAACUGUGCUGAUUAGGGGGUGAUGGGGAAGGAACUAGAGGGAGAUGGAGGGCUGGCCCAGCCCCUCAUCCCACUCUUCAUUGCAGGCUGAGGCAGUGCAGGGGCUAAGGGGAGCCUGCCCCGAUAGCUCCCCCAACUGCCCAUGCCGGGGGCCCCAGCUGGGCCUGGCCUUCUUUUGGAAGAUCCUUACUCACACUUGGUGACGUUUUCUGUGCUUUGAAGACCAUGUUUGCAUUGUUAGGAAGUCAGGAAAAAAAUUCUCCAACACAAGUAGAAAAAAAAUAUUUACAUACCCUGGGGUUGGAAGUAGUGAGAGAUUAAAAGGGGCUGCGGGGGCAGAUUCUGAGAAAGGAGGGGGUCUCUACAGGCCUCCUCACUGCUCCCCCUAAAGUCAGAAGCUUUCAAUGUGGGAUGUGCUUGGGCAAAGGACAUUGGAAAGGAAGCCAGCAAAACCAAGCCUUGAUCCCCUUGUUAUUCAAUGAGCCCCUGAAAAAUGAGUUUUCAAGGGUCCCUUCAGCUCUGAUAUUCUCUGUUCUAAAGGACAUUUCCAACAUCCCCAGUUCUAAGGACCCUCCCAGCUCUGACCUCCUGGGUUCUAAGGUCCCUCCCGGCUCCAACAUCCCAUGUUCUAAGGGCCCACCCGGCUCUGACAUUCUCUGCUCUAGAGACUGUUUGGAUUUUGAGUAAAUAUUUCCAGGUUUUCUUAGGUCCUCGGUCCUAUCACUUCUGGUUCUAAAGACCCUUCCCCUUCCCAUUCUGUGGCCUGGAGGAGUCCCUUGGUCAGGCAGAGAUCACCAUCUUCCAGGACGGAAACUUGGUCUAACUCUGCUCAGUCUCUUGCGUGGGGGCAGAGGAGGGCAGGGGGAGCAGUUGGGCAUUGAGGGCCCCAUGGGGGCAGUAGGGGCCUGGCAGCCAAAGGUUACGUCGCACCCCCUCCCUGGCUGAUAUGGGGGAGCCCCUCAGCAGCUGGAGGAAUAUCUUCAUGAAAAAGAAUUUGUGAUAUUGACAACCCUGUUAUCCCAUUGAAGCAGCAAAGGGACUUAAAACGUCCCCAGGACUGGGGUGGAGAUUGGGGGGAGGGAGGGAGAAGGGGCUCCAGACUCUGGAGAUGGAAGACGUGCAGACACUUUGGCCCAGGGGGGUCCAGAGCUCCAGGAGCUCCCCCAUGUCUGAUGGGGAGGGGGAGAAUUGGUCGUGGGGACAGAGGACCAGAAAGAACACAGCCCCCCAAACCUGAGGUUGGAUCUGUGGGGGGUCCUCGCUUGUCCCCAGGUCGGGUGAUGGGGUCAUGGUGCUGGUGAACUUUGAAACGAGACUGGUUUCUCCUGGAGUGCCUCAGUGUGUAGUGGGGGGGGGAGGGCAUUGGUCACAGGAUGUAGGUACCCAUAGGGUGCUCUAGGACCCAUGAGCUCAACUGGGCGGUGAGUGAGUGGGGGGAUGGGGGGAUGAGGGGAAGGCUGGGAACCCGGUCACCUCAGAAACCUUCAAUUCACAUACACAGCUUCACACUCAGCACACAUGGACUCACACACUCAUGGAAACACGUGACUCGAAUCCACGCUCUUGGGAGCACACACCUUCCCAUGAAUUGGGGCUCAAGCAUAGAUGUGCACACUCGUAAAUGUCCCUUUAGGCACGUAUGUGCAACUUCAUGGUAAUGAACUUUUUCAGGCAUACAAAGACGCACCUAUGUACACAUUCACACAAGGAAAAUAUCCUUAACAGGACACAAGGCAGUGUGAACUCUCUCUCUGGAACACGUACCCCCUGCAGUGAACCUCGGGUGUGAACAUCUACCAAUUUAUCGAGCAGACCCGAGGGCUCCUCCAGGGGAUCCACAGGGACGCCCCCUUCAACCCCCCUGGAGCACUCACCCAAACUCUGUCUCUAGAUUGCUAAGGAGUGGGAACUUACCCCGUCCAGGGGCAGCCCCCUCUGCUUUGAGAUCAUUCUAAUCAUAGGAUUGCAAAAUAAAUCUCAGCUUUCCACCUAGCCCUUCCCGUCACCAAAGAGCCUUACAGAUCCGCUAGUCCAGGCCGACUCAUUUUAAAAAAGGGAAACUGAGGCAGAAAAGUGAGUCUAAAGCCAGGCCAGGACUAGAAGCUGCCCUCCACAAGCAGUCCAGGAAAGGGGCCAGAGAGGUAGGAGAAGACAGUCGACUUAGAGGUCAUCCCAUCCAAUCCCCUCAUUUUUUUUUUUUUUUUUUUUUUUUUUUUUUUUUGGAUAAGGAAGCUGAAUUCCGGGAGGGAAUUGACUUUUCCAAGAGCACAUGAGUCGUAAUCCUUGGACGGGCGUUUUUCCCCCCGCUGUCCGACCUCCAUUUGCCUCUGUAGUUUCUAAAUAGUGCUCCUGGUUCUGUCCUUUGGGGCCAAACCCAACUGCUCUAAUUCCUGUCCCAGACAAGGGGCCUCUAAAUAAGAGCAGUCGCACAUCCCCCUCCAGGCCGAUCAUGUCCAGACCCACUCCCCACGACAGGCUCUCAAGGUUUCUCUACCCUCUCACAAGGGCAGAGAUGGCUGCUUUUCCCCCAGAACGGGCCCCGGACACACCUGCCUCAGCGCAGGGAGCACUCGCCCCCGGCCCUGCGACCCAGCCGCACCUUCCCACACUGACACACACGCACACUGAUGGGCAGGGUGAGGGGACGCCAGGAGCUGAGGCCCAGUGGGGCCCACCAGCCUUGGGGAGGAGUCCCCGGACCCCGUGGGAACCCUGGUGGAGAAGUCUCUGCCCCCAGCCCACCCCCAGCCCUGGGCAGACACAUCAAGGAGAGGCAGAGGGCAGGGAUGGUCCGUCCUGAGAGCUGGGCGGCUUCUGGCCGAGACCUCACUUGGCUCCCAAGCCCAAGCAGAAGGACCCUUAGCCCCCAUGACCCGGCCCGGGGGCAAGUCCGAUGCUCAAAGGAAGCGUGGGGGGGAGGGAUGGGGGAUGGGGAGGGCGGCCUCCACCUCCCUCCGGUCCUGGGCCGGGCCCCAGGUCUUCUUUGUGUGGAGCCAGCUCCAGUUUGCCCAUCGACCUCAAGCCCUCCCCGGCAGGCCUGGCUUUGGGCUCCUCUCAGUCCCCACAAGCAGAGAGCAGGUCAGAGGGGCCUCCGAGGCCCGCUGGGGCUGGUCAGCUGGGAGCGCAUGGCUUGGAUGCUGCUGACAAUCUUCUUCUGGUGUCCAGUGAGGGUGAUCCCCAAACC
ensembl:lncRNA